CCCAGAUCUUUUUUGCCUUUAUCUCUUUCUCGCUUUAUACAAACACAGAUUAUACAAUUGAUCUUCUGUAUAUGUAUCCAAAACAGAAACAGAUUAUAUACAACUGUUUUUUUUGUAUAUGCAUAGCGAAAUAAACAUAUUUAUGUUUGCUAUGGAACGCAAUUAUGCAAACUAUAGCUAUAACAUACAAAUAUGAUUUUUGUGUUCGAUAUAUGUGACAGUUGCUGAAAUUUUUAAGCAAUAUAAAUUAAUAUGAUAAAAAAUAAUAGGAAAACCUAUAUAUAAUAGCAAAUUAUUAAUUCAAAUUAAAUGCUAUAAAUAUAGCUUGAUUUAACUGAACCCCA
rnacentral:lncRNA from 1 species